ACCCCCACCCAUCGAAGGACAUCGCGUUGACAAGGCGGGACUCAGCCUCGCGAGAGUUGGGCUCAAUUGUGUCAGGAAGGGGAGAAGAAUGAGUCAGAGGGGGAAAUGGAGCUAGGACAGAGUUAUAUGAAAACACCACAUGGGCCAUAGGGCUGCUCUGGCGCAGUCGGUUAAACCACUAAGCUGCAGAACUUGCCAACCAGAAGGUCAGCGUUUCAAAUCUGUGAGACUGGAUUGAGCAGCUUCUGCCAACUUAGCAGUUCGAAAGCAUGCAAAUGUGAGUAGAUCAAUAGGUCCUGCUUCUGUGGGAAGGUAACAGUGCACCAUGUAGUCAUGCUGGCCACAUAACCUUGGAGGCGUCUAUGGACAACGCCGGCUCUUCGGCUUAGAAAUGGAGAUGAGCACCCUCAGAGUCAGACUCAACUAAACUUAAUGUCAAGGGGAAACCUUUACCUUACCACAUGGGCCAUCUAGUCCAACCCCCUGCCAUGCCGGAAAAGCACAAUCAAAGCACCCCUGACAGAUGGCCAUCCAGCCUCUGUUUUAAAAGCUUCCAAGGAAGGAGCUUCCACCACACUGCAAGGCAGAGAGUUCUGCUGAAGACUUUUUACGGUCAGGAAAUUCUUCCUUAUGUUUGGGUGGAAUUUCCUGUAAUUGGGACCUAUUGCUUUGAGUCCUAGUUUCCAGGGUAGCAGAAAACAAGUCUGCCCCCUCUUAUGACAACCCUUCACAUAUUUGUAUAUCACUAUCAUGUCUUCUUUCAAUCUUCUCAAUCUUCAGGAUUCAUGGUCUCCAGAACCUUUGAUCAUUUUAGUUGCCCUCCUCUGGACGCCUUCCAGUUUGUCAUUAUCUCUUUUGAACUGUGGUUCCCAGUAUUGAACACAGUAUUCCAAGUGAGGUCUAAACAAAGCAGAAUACAAAUGCAUCAUGACUUCCCUUGAUCUAGACACUAUACUACUUUUGAUUCCUAAAAAAGCCCAAAAUCCCAUUGACUUUUUUAGCUGCUGCAUCACACUGUUGGCUCAUGUUCAACUUGUGGUCCACAAAGAUUCCCAGAUCUUUUUCACAUAGGUUAUUGUCAAGCCAGGCAUCACCCAUCCUGUAUCUUUACAUUUCAUUUUUUCUGCCUAAGUGUAGUAUCUUACACUUAGUUCAAAUUCAUUGUGUUAGUUUUGGCCCAGCUUCCUUAUCUAUUAAGGCUAUUAAGGUUAUUUUAAGAAUUCUGACCCUGUCUUCUGUAGAAUUAGCUAUCCUUCCCAAUUUGGUGGCAUCUGCAAACUUGUUAAGUACGCCCUCUAAACCUUCAUCCAAUUCGGUAAUGAUGAUGCUGAAUUGCAUUGGGCCCAGGAUAGAACUCUGUGGAACUCCACUAGUCAUUUCUUUCCAGGAUGAAGGGAAACCAUUGGUGAGCACUCUUUGGGUUCAUUCGCUCAACCAAUUACAAAUUCACCUAAUAGUAGUAUUAUUUAGUCCACAUUUUACUAGUUGGUUUGAAAGAAGAUCAUAGGGGACCUUUACUUUAACAACAUUCACACUUGCCAGUAAUGAUUGCUAAUAACCAAAACUACAAUAAUAAUUUAAAAGAAGUGUGGCAUUUUGUUCUGAAAUGAAAUAUUUUUUUCUUGUGCUCUUGGCAUAAAAUCACCUACUUUUAUUUAUUCAGAUUACAGGCGACUCAGUUAUUUCAUAACAUGAGAUAAGAAUAUAUAGUACUCUGAUCUAUAUCGUCCAAGUCCACUUACUCAAUGGAAAACCACAGUAAUAGCAACUUUAAUUGUUCAGAUAUGAAGGAGUGUGCAAAUCAUAAUUCCUGCUGCUUUUUACUUGUACUCAGUAGAGCAGAUAUUGUGGAAUUUAAUAGCAGAAGGCAAGAGGUGGAUUAGGGAGUGCAUCUACACUGUAGAAAGUAUGCAGUUUGACACAUUAACUGCCGUGGCUCAAUGCUAUGGAAUCAUGGGAGUUAUAAUUUUACAAGAUUUUUCUUUAGCAUUCUGUGCCUCAAACAGCAAAUCCAAGAAUUCCACAGCAUUGAGCCAUGGCAGUUAAAGUGGUGUCAAAAUGCAUUCCUUCUACAAUGCAAAUGCACCCCAAGGCAAACUUUCAUUUGAUAUACCUUUAAAUAUCAAUUUAGCAAUGUGCAGAAAAUUAUUCAUAAAUAGGAGAAAUUUUUAUAAAUAAAGAACUGAAUGUGGGAGAAUGCAAAAUUGGCAUCUUCCAUCCCAUAAGCUUUGUGUUAGUGUUCAGUACAACUCUUGUUUUUGCAUUCUUGUUUAUUCAGCCAGGUUUGUGCUGAACUAUGCACCUUCACUGAAUGGGGGAGGGAGAAUAAUGCAUCAAAAUGUCUUGGGCUAGCGUGCUGCAUAGCAAACCAAACCAACCAUUAAUAACAACAUCCAAAACUGAAAAUACUCUUCCAGGACUUUCUGGGGCCAUAGCAACACUGUGCCUUCAAGGCUCAACAGAGACAAACAAUGAUAAUGGCAAUGAAAGCUGCUGAGACAUCUAAGCAAACUCACUGGGUUGCAUUCCUUUGCAGUAGUUCUGCCUGGAAGUCUCCUCUCUGUUCAUUGCCCCAUUGCCCUCUCCUUCAACUUUGUCCCUUUAAGAAAAAACCAAUUCCCAAGGGAAGGUAAUAUUGAGUGCGUCUACACUGUAGAACUAAUGCAGUCUGCCACCACUUUAACUGCCAUGGCUCAAUACUAUGGAAUCCAGGAAUAGUUGGUGAGGCACCAGCCCUCCUUGCAGAGAAGGUGAAAAACUUUGGAAAAAAUACAGCUCCGAUGAUUCCAAAGCAUUGAGCCAUGAUAGCUAAAGUGGCGUCAAACUACAUUAAUUCUACUGUUUAGAUGCACCAUGGUCAGUUUUGCCUUUACUUCAUGUUCUAAUAUUGAACAAUACUAUUCAUCAUAGAGUUCAUUGUGUCUUAAGAAAGUAUCAAGUUCUUACAUAAGCCCUUGCUGCAUUUAAAAAUGGUUUUAUUGAGCCUUGAAAUUGUAGGUAAUGUGCUGAGUACUGAACUGAAUUCAAGUAACAUAUUGCUUUGACAACUGGUUCUAAUUUAAUUGAUUUCAGAGCAGAGUUAUGGACUGUGGCUGAUGGUAAAACUGGAAUGCAGCUUUCUGAUUUGUCUGGAUGGGGGCAUUAUGCCAAAGUGUCCAGAAUAUGAAUGAAAUUCUUUUGAUUUUAGCCUGUAAAAUAAAUCUUUCUUUAUAAUCUUUCUUAUAUAAUCUUAAAUCUUUCUAUUGAUAACUUUGAUGUCAUCUGUACGGGAAUAAAUACUCUUGUCAUUGGUGUGUAAAACAUAACACUAUUGCCAGUCAAUUCUUGGAGAAAGAGCUGGCACUAUACUAAAAUGAAGGCUGGGAUCUGUUGUUGCCUAAACACAUGUGUAAAGCUCCUGAACUGGUUGGAUAUUUGUGUCCAGUGUGAAACACUUUUAUUCACACCAUGGUUGCAGUAGCAGAGUUGUAAUUUGGGUGUGCAUUCAGUUGCAUAUUGGUAUGCUUGGUUUAGUUGCGUAAUAAAGCCAUUCAACACAAAGGCUGAAUAGCACAAUACAUCACUUUGCAUGCAGAUUUACACACUGCAAUCUCGAUAUAGAAUCUCAGCCAACAUAUUUAUAUACAAAACAGCCAAAACACCUUUCUUGGAAGCAUCAGAACUAUUGCAGCACUUUUAGGCUCACAGUGAUUCCAAAGAAUAUUGUGUUCAAUUUUACUGAACAAUGCUGAGAGAUCUAAGCAAACUCACAGGAUUGCAUUCUCCCUGUCCAUUUCAAGUCAUCUACUCAAAUAUGCAAGUCAUCUACCCUAAUGAUAAAGGCUAAGUCAAGUCUAAAACUAGAUAGAAAUAAAUCAAAAUAAUCAGUGACAUCAUAGAUGUAUCAUUUGAGAAAGCCUUCUUCCGGCAGACCAUCUCAGUCAAUUUUAGCCUCUGAAUUUUAAAUUUAUAUUUAUUAGUAUUGGUGUUUUAAUCUUAAUUCUAUGUUUUUAAUAUAUAUUUGUUUUAUCCAUGUUUUCAUCUAUGUUGUACUCCCCCUCAAGCCAUGAAGGGAGACAGAUAAUUUAUUAUUAUUAUUAUUAUUAUUAUUAUUAUUAUUAUUAUUAUAUUUUGGAAUGAAUGACAAAUUGACAUUGCAUAAUUAUUAUCCAAAGUAAAAAAGAUCAAAACUUGAUUUAGUUGUCUUCAAAGCUGGCUCCUCGCCUCUUUACAGUUCUAGAUCCUGCAUAUAUGACUCUGGACUAUGGAUUUUCCAGUUUUUCUGGCAGAUCUUUUCAGUUAAUAUAUUUCUUGGGGAAGGGGGAAAAUAAUAGUAAACCCCAUUUCAAAACCAUCUGCACUGCCUCUUCUUACUGGUGCCUUAUUGAGCUAACCCAUUUCCUAUACAAAUGCACUGGUUUAUUUCACACUAUAUAAUUAUGGCACUACAUUAGAGUGCAGCUAUGAUGCUCUUUAUCAGUUGUUAUUAAGGAUUUGAGAAGCAUAGCUGCAGAUCAUAAAUGCCUUUGUGUUUGAAGGAACUGGUAUGUAAAAAUCCAAUGGCAAACAAUUUUGACUGAGGGUGGGCAAAUUCUACCCGUCUGGGGGACCCACAUUGGCCUUGUUCUCCCGAUUCCUGACAGUCAGUUUUUUUAAUUCACAAAAUUUCCUCAUGACUUUUAGGAGAUGCGGGAACAUUUUCUUGUCUGCCUUUCCCAUGGCAUAUUUUGGGUCUCGUUGAGGCCAUUUUAAUGACUUAAAGCCCUUCACGUUGUGAAAAAAGCAAAGCCCACCCUGGCUUAAGGAAAGGAUUGUCUUUUAUUACCACCAUGGCGGUAGGUCCACCUGGCGAGGACAUGGGAAGAAGCCUUUGCUGUGAAAUUCUCCUCUACUUUCCUUUUUGCCAGCAGCUUAUUCAAACAGACAUGUAAUGAUUAACUAACUGCAGGGAGUCAUUUAAUGGAAUCUUGUGCUCUAUUUUUUGACCUCAUUAUGUUUUUAAAUGAUUUUACAUGUUUUAAAAGUUAAUAGUGUUUUUAUAGCAUAAUCUGUUUUAAUUGUGUUUUAACAUUUUUAUUUUCAGGCUUUUAACUUUGUCUUGUUUUAACUUAAUGCAACAGGAUCUUGUAGUACCUUUGAGACUGGGAUAACUUGUAGCAUACACUUUCACAGACUGAGGAUCCAUCACUUAGAAUUAGUGCAAUUUAACACCAAUGUAAAUGGCAUAGCUCGGUGCUAUGACAUUAUGAAAGUUAUAGCUGUACAAGUUUUUUAGCCUUCUCUGCUAAACAGUACUGAUGCCUCACCGAACAACUCUCCCGAUUCCAUGCAUCAAGCUGCAUCAAUGGACUCUUAGUCUACAUCUUCAGAUGAAUGGCCUUUCUAUGCAUAUUCUCAAAGCUACAGGAUCCCUUUGCAUACUGAUAAACCAGGCUAACACAACUAUGUUUUAAUUUUGAUCUUGUGGUAAGAAACUUUGGGUCCCAUGCUACUCAGCAAGGAAAUAACUGAAACAGGUUGAGGUGAGAAGCAAUAUUAUCUUACAUAUGCCAUACAGACUCUAUGUGUGUGAGAUUUGCCAUUUUGGGAGGUGACAAAUUUGCUAAAAUGGUGGGGGGAGUGUUGGGACCUUGUGGGGUUGCAUCUCUCUAAUUUAGAUUGAACUCAACACAUUAAAACCUGUGAACAAAAAUCAAGACAUUCCUGAACUGAUGCCAAUGCUUUUUGUCCUUAGCCACAAAAGUUCCAGAAAAAACAUCAAGUAGAUUUUCUUUAAAUUAUCAUUUAUUCAUUUGAAUUUGUAGGGUAAACACUGAUUUCAAGAAAUUAUAAUUUCAGAGAAAAAGGUCAAGGCAACUUCAGAAAGGACUGGGAACCAACCCUAAAUUUUAUAUUAAAAAAGACAAAAGACACACAAUUAUGGACUGAAGGUUUCAAAUCAGUUUGAAGCAGGAAGAAUCAUCACCCUGAUUUUAUGCAGAUAGAUACAAUGGUUGAUUUUGAUUUUAUGCUGAUACAAUGAUUACAAUCUUAGUGAAAGCUUUAACCUAGGAUGAUACAUAUUAUAAAUGAUUUGAGAAUAUAUGUCUCCUACCAAGGAAUGGGAAGUCAGUAGCCAUGACUAAGGAGGGGAGAAGACUGAAAGAAAUACAGUAGAUUCUCAGUUACCCAGAACUCAAGCAUCCAGAACUCUCAAGCAACUGGUUAAAAAAUAACUAAAAUUACAUACUGCAUUCACAAAGUUGUUCUUAUAAUACAGUAAAAGUGUUAUAUUAUGCUUGUCUCUAUUUGUCUUAAAUUGCUUUUCAUUACUAUAUUUCAAUAUUAAGUCAAUAUAGAGUUUAUGGUAUGGUAUAAUAUGGGCCAUAGACUUAUUUUUAAUAGUAUUUCUCAAACAAUCAAAAACUACAUUUAUCUGGCAUUUACCAUCCCCAUGGGUGUCGGUUAACUGAGAGUCUACUGAAAUGCCAUUUCAUAAUAUUUUAUGAAACAUCUGUAAUACAAUUGUGGAGAAAAAUUAUAAAAAGCAAAUCAUAAAAAAUCAUAAUGGAUAAAAAUCUGAAGAGCUGUCUAGAAAUAGGACAGUUCAUCGUGCUUUCCUUUCUUGCUUUGGUAGCUGGUGAGCUCCGGUGGCUUGUUCUCAUGAGGGAGGCUUUUGAAGAUUCGCACAUGAAGGAAUUGGUCAUUCCCAACAUGGACCUUGACGAAGUAGUUUAUUCCAGCAACCAUCUGGGUUUUAAACUCGACUGCAGUGAAGACAUCAAAGCUCUUGCCUUCUUUCUCUUCCACUUGGGCCUUGACGUGCUGGACAAUCUGCUGUGUCUCUUCAGUGGCUGGCUUGGUCUCUGAGGUCCCGCCACACUUCAUCUUCCACGCCUUUGGGGUGACUUCCACGUAAAAAGACUAGUGGGACCAACGGUGCCCCCUUUUCAGUUCGUGGAGCAGGUGGCUAUCACAGAAAAAUGAAAAAAGAGACAGGGAAAGAAGAAAAUUAGAGUGUUUGCACUCGUCUGGAUAAAGUAGUUCUGGGUCCUCUGUAGCUUUUUUGUAUUAGUUAAAUUGUGCAUCUCUUUCAUUUGAAAGAAGGGAGAAAAACAAGAGGCAGUUAAUAACAUAGAAAUACAGUAGACUCUCAGUUAACUAGAAGUCAGGCAACCAGAACUCUCAAAUAACUGGCAAAAAAUUAGAAGAAAUAAUACUUUAAAUUAAAAAGAACUGUUUUUAUAAUACAGCAAAACAGUAAAACUAUGUUAAGUUACAUUUGUUUUUACUUGGUCUUAAUUACUGCAUCACAAUAUUAAUAUCAAGUUAAUACAGAGUUUAUGGCAUGGCAUAAUAUGGGGAUAGUAUUAGGCCUGUUUUUAAUAGUAGCUCUCAAGCAACCAAAAAUUAAAUUUAUCCAGCAUCUACCAAUCCCCAUUGGGGGGGGGGGGGGGGUACAUCUUCACUGCCAUAUAAUGCAAUUUGAAAUAGCAUUAUAUAGUAUUGACUCAUAUAAUACAAUUUAACUGCACUAAACUGCAUUAUAUGAGUCUACAUUGACCAUAUAAUGCUAUUUCAAACUGUAUUAUAUGGCAGUGUAAGUGGGGCCUAAGAGUCUACUCUGCAUAUCUUGUUGUUUUUCUUGAAAUCAAAGUGUAGCACAAGUAUUAUUAAUGUAUUCCUUAUUACUAGAAAUUAAACAAAAUCCCUUGUUGAAAAGGCUGAAUAAGCCUUUGCUACUGCUAAAGAAUGCAUGAGUGUUUUCUUUCUCAUUGCAGUUUAUAGAUUAAAGGCCCUCCUCCUCUUUUUGCCCUAGAAAAUACAUCUCCUUCCAACCUGCUCAACAGCAGAACUCCACUCUAUCAAAUAUGCAUGUGAUGCUCUUUGAAUCAAGAGCAGGUUGAAAAAGGAAAGAACAGAUGAGAAAUUAUCCUAAAGAAAGUCUUAUGGGUGCCCUCGAAAUACACACUGAAUCCUUCAUGACACUUAGGUGGGCCCUUACAACAAUCCUGUAAAAACAGAAUCCCAAAUAAUUCCUUCUAAAAAUAAGUGAGCCUUGGACCUUGUCACAAGGUUAAAAUAUUGUUACAGCAGGAAACGCCUUUCUUACUAGGGCAAGAGGUUUGCUGAAAGCUCUCCUCUGGUUUUGUAAUAUAACACUCCUGUUUAAUCAAUUGCAGAAGUGGGGGAAAGUGCAGUCCUGCCAGUGGAGUUUCAUUGUACCAUACGAGGGGAAAAUACAACCCUACAUUCGCAGCAGCUUGACACAAUGAACAAGCAUUCCAAAAUAGGAUUUAGCUCUGCUGGGAAACACACUCAGCCUUCAUUCUGCAGUGUAAUAAAGAGGUAUUAACUCAAAAGAGCCCUUUGAAAAGUUUGGCUCUACUGCAUACCGCUGGCAUUGAGUCACUACGACUGACCUGUAAAACUUGGGCCUAUAUUAACAUCCAUGCAAAACAAUUAGAUGAGUAUGGUAAUUUGUUUGUGGUACUGUAUGACGUAAACAAUAGUUUACUUUUUUAACAACUAAUGCAGCUUAGUUGCCGAAAUGGAAAGCUAAUUAUUUUAAUUUUACAUUGAGGUAUUUCUUGCAUUUUUGUUAGGUUACUUUUUGCAAAACGAAUGGGGGAAAACGGCAAGUAAAACACUGUACAGUGUUUUACAUAUUUUAAUAGGUUUAAAUGGUUUUACUGGUUUCAACUAUUUUUAAUACUAUGUUUAAAUCUAUUUUAGUAUUUGUAAGUCUUAAGUUUUACAUUAUACAUUGUAUUGUUUCUAGCAUUGUUAGCCACUUUGAGUAUGUUUUAAGAAAGAAAAAGUGGCAUUUAAAUAAAUGUAAUAAUAAUAACAGUAAUGAUAAAUGGGAAAGGGGUGAAUCAUUUAAAAACACACAUGGUGAUAUUCAUUGGGAAUUUAACAAUAAACAGUUACAUUUAUGGAUUGAUAUUAGGAGCAUAUGUACCCCUUGAAGUGUUAAUCCAGAAAUGAUGAACCUAAGAGAAACUAAGAAGUUAGAUUUUCAGAUUAUUGAGCAAUAAUUGAUUAGUGUUUGUAUCGCCAAACCUGAAGCACACUGUUCUUUCUGUGGGUCUCGGUCCAUUAAAGCUCUUUCAGACUUCAUGUUGCAGAAAUUAAUUUGGCAGCAUGUGGACAUUCCAAAUAUUUUUAAAGAAAACAAACAUUUGAGUCAGGUCAGCAACAUAAGCCAGCACUCAAACUAGUGAUCUUCCUUUGCUGUCACUUAGUAAGACAAUACCACUGCCAUCAUGAAAAAAUAUAGUUCUACUGAAAAAUGUGGGAAUUUAUCUUUAGUAUAGUACUACUGUAACACAAUGUAGUUAUAAUUUUGUUAUUAUCUAUAGCAAAGUACUGCCAAAUUCCAAUUAAUAUCACACAUUAGUUUGACCUAUGACCAAGAAUGAGAAACUGUGACAGAGCUAUUUAAGCUAUUUAAAUGAAAGACAGGUAUUGUAAAAAUUAGAACAUUUUAAAAAUAAUGUCCCAGUAUUUUUAGUCUUUUAAUGCCCAAGGGGAAGAAACAGUAGUGGCUCUGUACUCACUCUCAUCUCUAAACAUACUCCUUUGUUUUCUUGCAUAAAGCUCUAAACGGUUUGGGACCUGCCUAUCUUCGUGACCGCGUCGUCCCCUAUGAACCCACCCGAUCACUGAGAUCCUCCGGGGAGGCCCUCCUCUCACUUCCACCCUCCUCACAACUGCGUUUGGUAGGGACGAGAGAGAGGGCCUUCUCGGCCGUGGCUCCCCGACUCUGGAACUCCCUCCCCAGGGAGAUUAGGUUGGCUCCCUCUCUACCUUCCUUCAGGAAGCAACUGAAGACUUGGAUGUUUCGGCAGGCCUUCGGAGAUAGUCAUUAAUUAAUCAGCCCCAGUGGGUUUUUAAUCAUUUAUCCUGUUUUAUUACGGUCUUAUCAUUUAUGUAUUUUAAAUGAAAUUUUUAUUUUGUAUUGUUGUUUAUAUUGAUAUAUUGUAUUAUUGUUUUAUCUUUUUAUAUUGUGAUUGUAUUGUGUUGCUUAUAUUUUGUUCUUAUGUUGUUUGGGCCACUGCCCCAUGUAAGCCGCCCCGAGUCCCCGUGGGGAGAUGGUGGCGGGAUAUAAAUAAAGUUUUUAUUUUUAUUAUUA